GGGUUAGUAUCUCAAUAGGUAGAGGAUUUUCUUGUCAAGAAAAGAUAUGUCGGAUCGAGGCCGACCUAACCCG
rnacentral:tRNA from 1 species